AUGGAGAUGAAACACAAAAGAUUUUCGUUGGGGCGUAACCCUCUCAGCGACGCGCCACAUCAGAACCCGGGUAUGGUGAAAAAUGGGCAAGGGCCGGGCCGUCACCCCCCAAGUGGCGCGUCGUAUCUUGAUCCGGAUACGGUGGCAAGUGAGCGAGGAUCGGGUCGUCGCAUCCUUAGUGGCGCGCUACAUCGGCGCCCGGAUGUAGUGGAAAAUGAGCAAGGGUCGUCGCAUUUGACUCGACGAGUGCGAAGGGUAAGGAAGCUAGCCGAGCCUAGGAGGAUUCGCUUAGGUAGCUGGAACGUAGGGUCUCUGACAGGGAAGCUUCGGGAGCUAGUUGAUGCAGCAGUGAGGAGAGGUGUUGAUAUCCUUUGCGUCCAAGAAACCAAAUGGAGAGGACAGAAGGCGAAGGAGGUGGAGGAUACCGGCUUCAAGCUGUGA
rnacentral:rRNA from 1 species